GGGGAAUAUUGCGCAAUGGGCGAAAGCCUGACGCAGCGACGCCGCGUGAGUGAUGAAGGCCUUCGGGUUGUAAAGCUCUGUUGGAUGGGAAAGAACAUAUUGAGGGAACAAUACCUCUCGAUUUUGACGGUACCUGUCCAGAAAGCACUGGCUAACUCCGUGCCAGCAGCCGCGGUAAUACGGGGAGUGCAAGCGUUGUUCGGAAUCAUUGGGCGUAAAGCGCGUGUAGGUGGGAUGGUGUGUCAAAUGUGAAAGCCCUCGGCUUAACCGAGGAAUUGCAUUCGAAACUACCAUUCUUGAGUAUGGGAGAGGGAAGUGGAAUUUCCAGUGUAGAAGUGAAAUUCGUAGAUAUUGGAAGGAACACCGGUGGCGAAGGCGGCUUCUUGGCCCAUUACUGACGCUGAGACGCGAAAGCGUGGGUAGCAAAC
rnacentral:rRNA from 1 species